rnacentral:rRNA from 1 species
AGAGUUUGAUCCUGGCUCAGGACGAACGCUGGCGGCGCGCUUAACACAUGCAAGUCGAGCGAGAACCAGGACUUCGGUCCUGGGGACAGCGGCGAACGGGUGAGUAACACGUGGAUAACCUGCCCUCGGCACCGGGAUAGCCCGAGGAAACUCGGAUUAAUACCGGAUAGCCUUUCCGACUCUCGGGUCGGUUCGAAAAGGUAGCUUCGGCCUCUGGCCGGGGAUGGGUCCGCGGCGGAUUAGCUAGUUGGUGGGGUAACGGCCUACCAAGGCGACGAUCCGUAGCUGGUCUGAGAGGACGAUCAGCCACACUGGGACUGAGACACGGCCCAGACUCCUACGGGAGGCAGCAGUGGGGAAUCUUGCGCAAUGGGCGAAAGCCUGACGCAGCGACGCCGCGUGAGGGAGGAAGGCCUUCGGGUUGUAAACCUCUUUUAAGAGAGAAGAAGCUACUCGGGUUAAUAGCCCAGAGGGUGACGGUAUCUCUGAAUAGCC